rnacentral:rRNA from 1 species
UGGGGAAUAUUGGACAAUGGGCGCAAGCCUGAUCCAGCCAUGCCGCGUGUGUGAAGAAGGCCUUUUGGUUGUAAAGCACUUUAAGCGAGGAGGAGGCUACUUGGAUUAAUACUCUAAGAUAGUGGACGUUACUCGCAGAAUAAGCACCGGCUAACUCUGUGCCAGCAGCCGCGGUAAUACAGAGGGUGCGAGCGUUAAUCGGAUUUACUGGGCGUAAAGCGUGCGUAGGCGGCUUCUUAAGUCGGAUGUGAAAUCCCUGAGCUUAACUUAGGAAUUGCAUUCGAUACUGGGAAGCUAGAGUAUGGGAGAGGAUGGUAGAAUUCCAGGUGUAGCGGUGAAAUGCGUAGAGAUCUGGAGGAAUACCGAUGGCGAAGGCAGCUAUCUGGCCUAAUACUGACGCUGAGGUACGAAAGCAUGGGGAGCAAACAGG